GCCUUCAUGGUGUAACAGUAGCCCACUCAGCACGUAUUUGUGAAGUCUAGGUUCGAAUCCCGGUGAGGGCA
rnacentral:tRNA from 1 species